rnacentral:rRNA from 1 species
UCUUGACAUCCAGCGAACUUUCCAGAGAUGGAUUGGUGCCUUCGGGAACGCUGAGACAGGUGCUGCAUGGCUGUCGUCAGCUCGUGUUGUGAAAUGUUGGGUUAAGUCCGCAACGAGCGCAACCCUUAUCCUUUGUUGCCAGCGAUUCGGUCGGGAACUCAAAGGAGACUGCCGGUGAUAAACCGGAGGAAGGUGGGGAUGACGUCAAGUCAUCAUGGCCCUUACGAGUAGGGCUACACACGUGCUACAAUGGCGCAUACAAAGAGAAGCGACCUCGCGAGAGCAAGCGGACCUCAUAAAGUGCGUCGUAGUCCGGAUCGGAGUCUGCAACUCGACUCCGUGAAGUCGGAAUCGCUAGUAAUCGUGGAUCGGAAUGCCACGGUGAAUACGUUCCCGGGCCUUGUACACACCGCCCGUCACACCAUGGGAGUGGGUUGCAAAAGAAGUAGGUAGCUUAACCUUCGGGAGGGCGCUUACCACUUUGUGAUUCAUGACUGGGGUGAAGUCGUAACAAGGUAGGCGUAGCGAG